rnacentral:miRNA from 1 species
UGACUAUGAUGUGCACCUGAU